rnacentral:misc_RNA from 1 species
UAAUUUCAGUCGCAAAUACCACAAAAUGAAGCCCACAGAAACCAUAGUCUCAAUAAAUUAAAUUAAACUCCAUAUCCUGGAAGAACAAACCUAGAUAACAUACAUGCAGCAGCAGUUAAAUAAAAUUAGAAGAAUGCCCUGCUUCCAUAGAACACCCGCGAUCCUUCCUUUUUCUGCUUCUUCUCAAGCUCUAGUUUAUUGCUAUGGCCUUGGAUCAAAUCGCCAGGAUCUUCACGUUCAGGCUUGUCAAGAUCCAUAGGGAGCUUCAUCUUGGCUAAAGAUUCAGUGAACUGUUGCAUACUCCUCAUGUACAUGUCUACUAU